GACAGAGGGUGCAAACGUUGUUCGGAAUUACUGGGCGUAAAGCGCGUGUAGGCGGCUCGGCAAGUCGGAUGUGAAAGCCCUGGGCUCAACCUAGGAAGUGCAUUCGAAACUGCAGAGCUUGAGUUCUGGAGAGGAAGGCGGAAUUCUCGGUGUAGAGGUGAAAUUCGUAGAUAUCGGAAGGAACACCAGCGGCGAAGGCGGCCAUCUGGACGGUGACUGACGCUCAGACGCGAAAGCGCGGGGAGCAAACAGG
rnacentral:rRNA from 1 species